rnacentral:rRNA from 1 species
GGGUCAGUAGGUUGGUCGUGCCACCGGUACGUACUGGUCUCACUGAUUCCUCCUUCCUGAAGAACCGUAAUGCCAUUAAUUUGGUGGUGCGGGGAAACGGGACUGUUACUUUGAAAAAAUUAGAGUGUUUAAAGCAAGCUAACGCUUGAAUACAUUAGCAUGGAAUAAUGAAAUAGGACGAUCGAUCCUAUUUUGUUGGUUUCUAGGAUUGACGUA